CCUACGGGUGGCAGCAGUGAGGAAUAUUGGUCAAUGGGCGAGAGCCUGAACCAGCCAAGUCGCGUGAAGGAUGACGGCCCUACGGGUUGUAAACUUCUUUUGUCAGGGAGCAAUUGGGUCCACGCGUGGGCUUAGCGAGAGUACCUGAAGAAAAAGCAUCGGCUAACUCCGUGCCAGCAGCCGCGGUAAUACGGAGGAUGCGAGCGUUAUCCGGAUUUAUUGGGUUUAAAGGGAGCGUAGGUGGAUUGUUAAGUCAGUUGUGAAAGUUUGCGGCUCAACCGUAAAAUUGCAGUUGAAACUGGCAGUCUUGAGUACAGUAGAGGUGGGCGGAAUUCCUAGUGUAGCGGUGAAAUGCGUAGAUAUUAGGAGGAACACCAGUGGCGAAGGCGGCUUACUGGACUGUAACUGACGUUGAGGCUCGAAAGCGUGGGGAGCAAACAGGAUUAGAUACCCUUGUAGUC
rnacentral:rRNA from 1 species